rnacentral:rRNA from 1 species
GCGAAAACUUUACAAUGCUGGCAACAGCGAUAAGGGAACCUCGAGUGCCAGGUUACAAAUCUGGCUGUCGAGAUGCCUAAAAAGCAUUUCAUAGCAAGGGCCGGGCAAGACCGGUGCCAGCCGCCGCGGUAACACCGGCGGCUCGCGUGGUAACCGUGAUUAUUGGGUCUAAAGGGUCCGUAGCCGGCCGGAUAAGUCUCUUGAGAAAUCUGGCAGCUUAACUGUCAGGCUUUCAGGAGAUACUGUCUGGCUCGAGGCCGGGAGAGGUGAGAGGUACUUCAGGGGUAGGGGUGAAAUCUUGUAAUCCUUGAAGGACCACUAGUGGCGAAGGCGUCUCACCAGAACGGACCUGACGGCAAGGGACGAAAGCUAGGGGCACGAACU